rnacentral:rRNA from 1 species
GGUGAGCGGCGGACGGGUGAGUAACGCGUGGGAACGUGCCCUUUGGUUCGGAACAACACAGGGAAACUUGUGCUAAUACCGAAUGUGCCCUUCGGGGGAAAGAUUUAUCGCCAUUGGAGCGGCCCGCGUUGGAUUAGGUAGUUGGUGGGGUAAAGGCCCACCAAGCCGACGAUCCAUAGCUGGUCUGAGAGGAUGAUCAGCCACACUGGGACUGAGACACGGCCCAGACUCCUACGGGAGGCAGCAGUAGGGAAUCUUGCGCAAUGGGCGAAAGCCUGACGCAGCCAUGCCGCGUGAAUGAUGAAGGUCUUAGGAUUGUAAAAUUCUUUCACCGGGGAAGAUAAUGACGGUACCCGGAGAAGAAGCCCCGGCUAACUUCGUGCCAGCAGCCGCGGUAAUACGAAGGGGGCUAGCGUUGCUCGGAAUUACUGGGCGUAAAGGGCGCGUAGGCGGAUAGUUUAGUCAGAGGUGAAAGCCCAGGGCUCAACCUUGGAACUGCCUUUGAUACCGGCUAUCUUGAGUUCGGGAGAGGUGAGUGGAAUGCCGAGUGUAGAGGUGAAAUUCGUAGAUAUUCGGCGGAACACCAGUGGCGAAGGCGACUCACUGGCCCGAUACUGACGCUGAGGCGC